AUGAACGCUGGCGGCGUGCCUAAUACCUGCCAGUCGAGCGAACAGACGAGGAGCUUGCUCCUCUGACGUUAGCGGCGGACGGGUGAGUAACACGUGGAUAACCUACCUAUAAGACUGGGAUAACUUCGGGAAACCGGAGCUAAUACCGGAUAAUAUAUUGAACCGCAUGGUUCAAUAGUGAAAGACGGUUUUGCUGUCAAUUAUAGAUGGAUCCGCGCCGCAUUAGCUAGUUGGUAAGGUAACGGCUUACCAAGGCAACGAUGCGUAGCCGACCUGAGAGGGUGAUCGGCCACACUGGAACUGAGACACGGUCCAGACUCCUACGGGAGGCAGCAGUAGGGAAUCUUCCGCAAUGGGCGAAAGCUUGACGGAGCAACGCCGCGUGAGUGAUGAAGGUCUUCGGAUCGUAAAACUCUGUUAUUAGGGAAGAACAAAUGUGUAAGUAACUAUGCACGUCUUGACGGUACCUAAUCAGAAAGCCACGGCUAACUACGUG
rnacentral:rRNA from 1 species